rnacentral:tRNA from 1 species
UACAAUAUGGUGUAAUAGCACAAGAGAUUUUGAUUCUCUAAGAAAGGCCCCUUUUUUGUAA